ACACUUAUUCAAAUCGAAGAAGUUUUAAAUAUUGAAAGCACUAUAUAUAUAUAUAUAUAUAUAAUUUUAUUCAAAUUAAAACUUUAGUCUUGAUUUUUAUUUCUAAAAAGCUUUUAAUGAAGUAUCAUGAGACGUUUGAUCAUUUUUCUGAUAUUUGUUUCUCUCUUAUACACUAACUAGCUAUUAUAAUUGUGAGAAUGAGACAUGUGAACUAUUUAUUAUAAUUUUUCUGGUUUAUUAUCUAAUAAAUCAAAAAGUUCUUAUAUUUCGAGUAUGCACUUAUAAUAUAUAAAAGCUUGAUAUAUUAGAUUUGAACAUUAACCUGUGAAUACAUUUUGCUAGUGAUUUUGUUCAAAAAUUUGAUUCUUAGAUAUGUCUCUGGAACUAAUUUUUACAGAUGUCCAUAUUUUUAAAUUGACACUUAUGUAAUUCACCGGAUUCACAGAAGAAGUUAAAAAAAAAAGAAACUAAAUUCUUUAUCAGUGAAACAUAAACGAGAACAAAAGCACAAUUUUUUAGAAGUAGAAAAUGAAAUCACUUAUGGAGAGUCAACAGUAACCAAAUUGAUAGCAGAAAACCUAAUCAUCUUUCGUCAUUUUACAGCAUCGGUGUUUUCUUUCUUAUUUUUGUUUGUGCCAGCCGUAAAACUUAAUUUUCUUUUGUGCAUACGAAGUUUUAAAAAUAAUUAAAAUUAUAUGUAGUACGUUAAAUCUUCAACAACGAUGAUGCAUUUAAUAGACCAAAAUUAGUAUUCGUCAUUUUACAGUUGAUAAAGAUUGUAGUGUUGCGAAAUGUUGAAACCAUUUAACGAACAAACAUUAGUAUAAAAAUCUCACUCGCGCAUGAACACAGAUUAUCAUCUAGUAUGAUACUAAAAGUUAGACACAUCAUUGAUAUUAAAAUUCAUAGAUUUAUAUAUAUAUAUACUAAUUAGGUCACAAAAUAUAAGUUGUACUUUUAGUUCACAUAUAAAAUAUAGUCUACUUAGGGACACAAAAGAUAUAGGAAAAUAAUAUAUCGUUUUGAUCUUGAGAACAACCCAAAGAAAUUUAGGAUUUCACUUUCAAUCCUCUAUUCUUCAAUAAUCUUGGAACUUGGGUGGCAAGCACAAAACCAAUGCCAUUCUCCAUCUCUUCCUCAGGCUCCACAAGCCCAUCUCCAUCUCCAACAAUGUCUUCAUUACCAUCAUCUUCUUCUAUUUUUUUUUUUGUUCAACGACCAUCAUCUUCAAAUCUAACAUAUUACAAUCAUGUUAAUGUUCUUUAAAUAGUCUAUUCUGAUCAUACACAUAAAAAUAAUAACAAAUAAAAUACAAAUAAUAUUCAUGUGUUAUUUUAUACAUAUAUUAAUUUUAUAAUAAUCAAAUGCAAAUCUAAUAAUACAAAUAUAUUAUCAUUUGUAACAAAAAUUAAAUUACUGUAUGUAAAAUAUUUAUUUUUGCCUUUAAAAUUCAUAUAAACAUUUAAAUAUAUGGAAAGUAUUAAAAUAUUAACCAUUAAACAUUUUAAAUAAUAUCAAUAUAUAAAGUGAAAACAAACAUCUGCGUAGGUGUGAAGGCCAAGCUCUAGUACAUAGUUAAAAGGAAACAAAUCUUUCAUAUACUAGUACAUUUUUGAAAAUUAAAUAAAUAAUAACUAAAUAAUGUAAUUCUUUGGUCAAAUAGAAUAAAAUCUUUGAAAAUGAAAAACAAAAUCUGUUAUUAUUAAGUAUAUAUAUGGUCAACGAAAAUUUAAAUUUGUGAUAAACUAGUAAAAUAUAAAUAUGUUAAAAAGUUGUUGAAAAUAAUUUUUAUUUCAUAUCACAUAAUUAAUAGUUUAAUUGGUGAGCACCGCCCUGUCAAUAUUCCAUAUUUACAUAUUAUUAUCAUAAUUACAGUCAAUUUUCCAAAAAAUAUACUAAUAAUUCUUAUUAUUAAAUUUAUUGUAAUGGUCAACUCAUCAUCCUAUAAAUCUCUCUUUUAGUGUCUCCCAAAAUUUAGAGUAUUACAAUAUACAAUAAACAAGUAACUAAAUCUAGAAAUAAAUAUGGCUAAAGCAAAAUUUUCAGUUGUUUUCCCCAUCAUCUUCCUUAUAAUGUUUGCUUUAGCUGAGGAUUGUAUGGGAUGUCAGGUGAUGCUUGGCGAUUGCCGUAAAUGCGGAAUAAGAUGCAGUUCUUAUGGAAGACAUGCAGAGGCUCAUUGUGAUUACCGCUAUGAAGGUGGCGCUUGUAUUUGCGACUUUCCUUGUAAUCCUCCACCAAACCUUUAAAAUGAAAUGUUAUUGGUAAUUAAUAUGAAGAAAUAAUAUGUUGAAUAUCAUAAUCAUAGUUGCUGCAAUAUUUCAUAUUUUAAAUAAUAAUUUCGUGAACCUUUGAUAUCAAUAAAAUUUAUAGAACACAAAA